GGAAUCUUCCACAAUGGACGCAAGUCUGAUGGAGCAACGCCGCGGGAGUGAAGAAGGCUUUCGGGUCGUAAAACUCUGUUGGUGGAGAAGAAUGGUCGUCAGAGUAACUGUUGUCGGCGUUACGGUAUCCAACCAGAAAGACACGGCUAACUACGUGCCAGCAGCCGCGGUAAUACGUAGGUGGCAAGCGUUAUCCGGAUUUAUUGGGCGUAAAGCGAGCGAAGGCGGUUUUUUAAGUCUGAUGUGAAAGCCCUCGGCUUAACCGAGGAAGCGCAUCGGAAACUGGGAAACUUGAGUGCAGAAGAGGACAGUGGAACUCCAUGUGUAGCGGUGAAAUGCGUAGAUAUAUGGAAGAACACCAGUGGCGAAGGCGGCUCUCUGGUCUGUAACUGACGCUGAGGCUCGAAAGCGUGGGUAGCA
rnacentral:rRNA from 1 species